GAUGAACGCUGACGGAAUGCUUAACACAUGCAAGUCUUUGGUGAAGCUGUGCUUGCACAGCCUAGCCAAGGCGGACGGGUGAGUAACGCGUAAGGAACUUGCCCUGCAGUCAGGGAUAACAGACGGAAACGACUGAUAAGACCUGGUAAAGUCAGGCGGACUCAUGUCCAGCCUGAUGAAAAGAGAUGCUGCAGGAGAGCCUUGCGUCCUAUUAGCUUGUUGGUGGGGUAACGGCCCACCAAGGCAAUGAUAGGUAGCCGGCCUGAGAGGGUGGACGGCCACAAGGGGACUGAGAUACGGCCCUUACUCCUACGGGAGGCAGCAGUGGGGAAUAUUGGACAAUGGGGGCAACCCUGAUCCAGCAAUUCUGUGUGCACGAUGAAGGUUUUCGGAUUGUAAAGUGCUUUCAGCAGGGAAGAAAAAAAUGACGGUACCUGCAGAAGAAGCGACGGCUAAAUACGUG
rnacentral:rRNA from 1 species